GCGGGAGUUUAGUUGGGGACGUUUCGACGGACGCUAAUACCGCAUACGUCCUACGGGAGAAAGCAGGGGACCUUUGCUCUGACCUAGCUAUCAGAUGAGCCUAGGUCGGAUUAGCUAGUUGGUGCGGUGUAAUGGCUCACCAAGGCGACGAUCCGUAACUGGUCUGAGAGGAUGAUCAGUCACACUGGAACUGAGACACGGUCCAGACUCCUACGGGAGGCAGCAGUGGGGAAUAUUGGACAAUGGGCGAAAGCCUGAUCCAGCCAUGCCGCGUGUGUGAAGAAGGUCUUCGGAUUGUAAAGCACUUUAAGUUGGGAGGAAGGGCAGUAAGUUAAUACCUUGCUGUUUUGACGUUACCGACAGAAUAAGCACCGGCUAACUCUGUGCCAGCAGCCGCGGCAAUACAGAGGGUGCAAGCGUUAAUCGGAAUUACUGGGCGUAAAGUGUGUGUAGGUGGUUCGUUAAGUUGGAUGUGAAAGCCCCGGGCUCAACCUGGGAACUGCAUCCAAAACUGGCGAGCUAGAGUACGGUAGAGGGUGGUGGAAUUUCCUGUGUAGCGGUGAAAUGCGUAGAUAUAGGAAGGAACACCAGUGA
rnacentral:rRNA from 1 species